CGGGGGGAGCAAGCGUUGUUCGGAUUUACUGGGCGUAAAGGGCGCGUAGGCGGCCACCGCAAGUCGACUGUGAAAUCUCCGGGCUUAACCCGGAACGGUCAGCCGAUACUGCGGGGCUAGAGUGCAGAAGGGGCAACUGGAAUUCUCGGUGUAGCGGUGAAAUGCGUAGAUAUCGAGAGGAACACCUGCGGCGAAGGCGGGUUGCUGGGCUGACACUGACGCUGAGGCGCGAAAGCUAGGGGAGCGAACGGGAUUAGAUACCCCGGUAGUCCUAGCCUUAAGCGAUGAAUGCUUGGUGUCUGGGGUUUUAUAGUCCCCGGGUGCCGUCGCUAACGCUUUAAGCAUUCCGCCUGGGGAGUACGGUCGCAAGACUG
rnacentral:rRNA from 1 species